CAGUAGCCGCGGUAAUACGGAGGGUGCAAGCGUUAAUCGGAAUUACUGGGCGUAAAGCGCACGCAGGCGGUUUGUUAAGUCAGAUGUGAAAUCCCCGAGCUUAACUUGGGAACUGCAUUUGAAACUGGCAAGCUAGAGUCUUGUAGAGGGGGGUAGAAUUCCAGGUGUAGCGGUGAAAUGCGUAGAGAUCUGGAGGAAUACCGGUGGCGAAGGCGGCCCCCUGGACAAAGACUGACGCUCAGGUGCGAAAGCGUGGGGAGCAAACAGGAUUAGAGACCCGCGUAGUCCCUGUCUCUUAUAC
rnacentral:rRNA from 1 species